rnacentral:misc_RNA from 1 species
GAAAACAGGAUAAUCGGAACCAGCUGCUACAAUGUUCCCAUGUUUUUCUUCAAGAAUUAUGAGUGUUUAUGUAAUGUCUCCAGGAACCUCUCAUCAAGUGGAUUGGAAGGGACCAUAGAUCCUCUAUUCUCCAGGUUCACAUCAUUAGAAUACUUGUAAGUAUAGUGAUGCACAAGGCAAAACGCUGCAAUCUCAUUAGGGACUGAUAUCAACUUUAGUUUCUCAGGGCUAAUACCAAACGUAUAUGGCUUAUUUGC